CAAGAAGCCUGUCUGACUUCAUGGCUGUGUCUUUGGCUUCUCCCUUCCUUGCUGAACCCCUGAGAAGAUACUGGAGGAGUGCUAGGGCAGGGAGACGUCCUCUGGGACCAGAGUCUGGAGCCAUUCCCAUAUGCCAGCUCUGGUUUUGAAGAGCCUCUUGGUUCUGGCCAGGAGAACAUACAAAUGACAGAGGGUCAAGACAUCCCAG
rnacentral:lncRNA from 12 species